rnacentral:misc_RNA from 1 species
CUGCUGUUCCUGUCGCUGC